rnacentral:misc_RNA from 1 species
GAUGAAGAACGUAGCGAAAUGCGAUAAGUAAUGUGAAUUGCAGAAUUCAGUGAAUCAUCGAAUCUUUGAACGCACAUUGCGCCCGCCAGUAUUCUGGCGGGCAUGCCUGUUCGAGCGUCAUUACAACCCUCAGGCCCCCGGGCCUGGCGUUGGGGAUCGGCGGAGCCCCCCGUGGGCACACGCCGUCCCCCAAAUACAGUGGCGGUCCCGCCGCAGCUUCCAUCGCGUAGUAGCUAACACCUCGCGACUGGAGAGCGGCGCGGCCACGCCGUAAAACACCCAACUCUUCUGAAGUUGACCUCGAAUCAGGUAGGAAUACCCGCUGAACUUAAGCAUAUCAAUAAGGAGA